rnacentral:pre_miRNA from 1 species
AUGUGAGUCAUCAGAAAGCUUGUUUAAAUGCAGUGUUUGAUUCACAAGGACUAGGGUGAUGCCAAAAUUUGUAUUUCUAGCAAGUUCCCAGAUCAUUUGGAU